rnacentral:rRNA from 1 species
AUUGAACGCUGGCGGCAUGCCUUACACAUGCAAGUCGAGCGGAUGAAGAGAGCUUGCUCUCUGAUUCAGCGGCGGACGGGUGAGUAAUGCCUAGGAAUCUGCCUGGUAGUGGGGGACAACGGUUCGAAAGGAACGCUAAUACCGCAUACGUCCUGCGGGAGAAAGCAGGGGACCUUCGGGCCUUGCGCUAUCAGAUGAGCCUAGGUCGGAUUAGCUAGUAGGUGAGGUAAUGGAUCACCUAGGCGACGAUCGGUAACGGGUCUGAGAGGAUGAUCAGUCACACUGGAACUGAGACACGGUCCAGACUCCUACGGGAGGCAGCAGUGGGGAAUAUUGGACAAUGGGCGAAAGCCUGAUCCAGCCAUGCCGCGUGUGUGAAGAAGGUCUUCGGAUUGUAAAGCACUUUAAGUUGGGAGGAAGGGCAGUAAGUUAAUACCUUGCUGUUUUGACGUUACCAACAGAAUAAGCACCGGCUAACUUCGUGCCAGCCGCCGCGGUAAUAC